rnacentral:rRNA from 1 species
CCUACGGGUGGCAGCAGUGGGGAAUAUUGGGCAAUGGAGGCAACUCUGACCCAGCAAUGCCGCGUGAGUGAUGAAGGUAAUUUUAUUGUAAAGCUCUUUUCUUUGGAACGAAUAAAUGACGGUACCAACGGAAUCAGCCCUGGCUAACUACGUGCCAGCAGCCGCGGCAAUACGUAGGGGGCCAGCGUUGUACGGGAUGACUGGGCGUUAAGGGUGUGUAGGGGGUUUGGUGAGUUAGAUGUGUAAUACCCAGGGCUUAACCCGGGUGCUGCAUCUAAAACUGGUAGUCUUGAGUACUGGAGAGGAUAGUGGAAGGCCUAGUGUAGCGGUGGAAUGCGUAGAUAUUAGGAAGAACAUCGGUGGCGAAGGCGACUAUCUGGACAGCAACUGACGCUGAGGCACGAAAGCGUGGGGAGCGAACAGGAUUAGAUACCCGUGUAGUC